GUGCCAGCAGCCGCGGUAAUACGGAGGGUGCGAGCGUUAAUCGGAAUUACUGGGCGUAAAGCGCACGUAGGCGGUUUGUUAAGCAAGAUGUGAAAGCCCAGGGCUCAACCUUGGAAUAGCAUUUUGAACUGGCAAGCUAGAGUUUUGAAGAGGGUGGUAGAAUUUCCAGUGUAGCGGUGAAAUGCGUAGAUAUUGGAAGGAAUACCAGUGGCGAAGGCGGCCACCUGGUCAAAAACUGACGCUGAGGAGCGAAAGCGUGGGGAGCAAACAGGAUUAGAUACCCUGGUAGUCCACGCCGUAAACGAUGUCAACUAGUUGUUCGUGUCUUUGAGACGUGAGUAACGCAGCUAACGCACUAAGUUGACCGCCUGGGGAGUACGGCCGCAAGGUUAAA
rnacentral:rRNA from 1 species